rnacentral:rRNA from 1 species
UACGAAGGGGGCUAGCGUUGCUCGGAAUGACUGGGCGUAAAGGCGCGUAGGCGGAUGGUACAGUCAGAUGUGAAAUUCCUGGGCUCAACCUGGGGGCUGCAUUUGAUACGUGCUGUCUUGAGUUCGGAAGAGGGUCGUGGAAUUCCCAGUGUAGAGGUGAAAUUCGUAGAUAUUGGGAAGAACACCGGUGGCGAAGGCGGCGACCUGGUCCGAUACUGACGCUGAGGCGCGAAAGCGUGGGGAGCAAACAGG